AUGUUUGUGGCUCCUCCAAGUGGGGCCCAGGGCAGCACAGCCAGCGAGAGCGAUGCAAGAUGGCAGCCACCACAGGCUCGGACAAUUUAUGAAAACCGAAUAUACAGCCUUAAAAUAGAAUGUGGACCUAAAUACCCAGAAGCACCCCCCUGUGUAAGAUCUGAAACAAAAAUUAAUAUGAAUGGGGUUAAUAGUUCUAACGGAGUGGUGGACCCAAGAGCCAUACCAGUGCUAACAAAAUGGCAGAAUUCCUAUAGCUUCACAGUUGUCCCGCAAGAGCUUCAGCGCCUAAUGAUGUCCAAACAAAAUAUGAAACUCCCUCGGCCUCCUGAUGGACGGUGUUACAGCAAUUAAUCGAAAAGAAAAACCACAGGCCCUCCCCCACCCCCCAUUCGAUUUAAGCAGUCUUCGUUUUCCACGGUAGUAAAUUUUCUAGAUACGUCUUGUAGACCUCAAAGUACUGAAAAGGAAGCUCCCAUUCAAAGGCAGUUUAUCUUAAGAUACUGUAAAUGAUACUAAUUUUUUGUCCAGUUGAAAUAUAUAAGUUGUGCUGUAACAAAAAAA